UACGUAGGUGACCAGCGUUGUCCGGAUUUACUGGGCGUAAAGAGCGCGCAGGCGGUCGUACAAGUCGCGUGUGAAAGCCCCCGGCUCAACUGGGGAGGGUCACGCGAUACUGUUCGACUCGAAGGCAGGAGAGGGAAGCAGAAUUCCCGGUGUAGUGGUGAAAUGCGUAGAUAUCGGGAGGAAUACCAGUGGCGAAGGCGGCUUCCUGGCCUGUUCUUGACGCUGAGGCGCGAAAGCUAGGGUAGCAAACGGG
rnacentral:rRNA from 1 species